GAAUUUGCCUUUAGGAGGGGGAUAAUAACUGGAAACGGUUGCUAAUACCCCAUAUGCUUUCAGUGAAUGGAGUUUUCCGCCUAGAGAGAAGCUUGCGGCUGAUUAGCUUGUUGGUGGGGUAAUGGCCUACCAAGGCGACGAUCAGUAUCUGGUUUGAGAGGAUGAUCCUGGAACUGAGACACGGUCCAGAUACGGGAGGCAGCAGUGGGGAAUUUUCCGCAAUGGGCGAAAGCCUGACGGAGCAAUCUCGCGUGAGGGAUGACGGCCUAUGGGUUGUAAACCUCUUUUUUCAGGGAGGAACAAAAUGACGUGUACCUGAAGAAUAAGCAUCGGCUAACUCCGUGCCAGCAGCCGCGGUAAGACGGAGGAUGCAAGUGUUAUCCGGAAUCACUGGGCGUAAAGCGUCUGUAAGUGGUUUAGUAAGUCAACUGUUAAAUCUUGAAGCUCAACUUCAAAAUCGCAGUCGAAACUAUUAGACUAGAGUAUAGUAGGGGUAAAGGGAAUUUCCAGUGGAGCGGUGAAAUGCGUAGAGAUUGGAAAGAACACCGAUGGCGAAGGCACUUUACUGGGCUAUUACUGACGCUCAGAGACGAAAGCUAGGGUAGCAAAUGGGAUAGAUACCCCAGUAGUCCUAGCCGUAAACAAUGAUACUAGAUGU
rnacentral:rRNA from 1 species